CUCACAGGAACAAAGGACACUGCCUAGGCAGCGACAAAGGAUCUGUUGGACUCUCGAUCUGUGACAGGGUGUACCAGGCAUUCACUGACCCCUGCUGGAAGCCCCACUCUCUUUUCACACCCUGCCCUAAGAAAGUGUUCUGCUGGAAGAGAAAAGCAGCAAGUUCAGACAUCAAGGGGAUGCACAGACGCCCUCCCUGGCAGGCGGCAGACCAUUGUGGAACCAGGACACAGGGGGGCGCUAGAGAGGAAGAGUCCCUGCGAUGCUGUGCCCUGACACAACUGGGCGCUCUGGUGUAACAAAAAGCCCACCACCAACACACACAAAAAAUCAAUGCCAGUAAUCCAAUCCCAUGCAAGCAGCCCUACAAUAACCAGCCAGUGUACCAGGAGACAAAAUAACUCCACUAAGGAAACAGAUUUCACUGUCAAGACAACAAGGGGAAAAAAUUGUCAAAGUUCUAAGAAGUGUCUUUCAAAACAUCCUCUAGAUGCUGCUAGCCAUUUCCCUUCCUCUGCCUUGUUAUGGCUGUGGCAGGCAUCUCUGUGUACAGAUGACAGUUUUGACAUACAUAGCAUAUGUUGAAAUAUAGGCAUAUACAGGUUAGCUUUAAGAGAUGUUCAUCCCAAGUGUAACUCCAUCAAC